UGUCAUGUCAGCCCGACUUCGGUUGUUGCAUUUUUCGCUGGUAGUGAAACUACACACUGAAAAUUUUGCGCAAGUACUUUUGUUUGCAUAUCAUGGUUUCAUAGCAACUGGGUUUUUCUUUUUAUAGGUGCUUGGACUAUCUUGCAUCGGUGGAUAUGAAAAUAGUGGUAACCUACCCUACGAAACAGCUGUUUGCACAUAAGCUUAACAGUUCCCUGUGAGAUGCUGUGAAAGUCAGCAGGGAAGUGCGAUGUAGAAGAAACGACUGCCAGAAGCUUGCUAAGGAACCGCACAACCUGUGUGGGCAGCAGACAAAAUAUUCAUCAAACGAAGUUUUGCACCAAAGUUAUGAGAGCAGCACAGAUGUUGUUUUAGCGUAAUGGAGUGAUGGAAGUGCUGCGCCAAUCAUGGAGUGCUUAGCAGUCGCCUGCUCGACCAGCCACGGUGAGUCAUUGGAGGCAGUGCUGCAGCACCAACAAUCACUCGUUGGAAGAAAGGAAUGAGGUGGCCAUCAACACCCUGCUGCCAGUUCAACACUCCUCAGUCAAAACACAAGACGCCUGCUUGGCGUCAAAGUCAAUCCAGUUUUAGACAAGAGUUUUGUACCGUAGACUUCGUGUGUGGUUUACUGCGAAUAAAUGUUUAUGCUGAGAUCCGUGUUGCUAUCAAUUAUAUCAUAUUUCUGCAUGAAUGCAUGCCAGGACGGUAGCAGGACUAGUCAUGGUCUAAAGAAGGUCUAAAGGUGGCUAAAGUAAG